AAAAGUCUCUAAUACUCUCUCUCUCGCUGGAAAAGAAUCUUAUCCUCUUCUUUGGUGGGACCAUCAGAUCACACGAGGUUACCCCUUUCCUCAAUCCACUCACGUCUCUCUCUUCUAACAAAAAAGAAAAGGAAAAAGAAAAGGCAGAUAAAAAGAAAAAAAAACCCUCACUUCUCUCUGAUCUCUGCGACCGGAAAAGAAAACAAAAGAGAAAAUUGGAAACAG
rnacentral:lncRNA from 1 species